ensembl:miRNA
UGGCUUGGCUGAGAAGUUCGUUCUGGUGUUUCUGUAGUAUCGUAUGAAAACCCGGAAUUAACUUUUUGGCCAACCCA